rnacentral:rRNA from 1 species
AAUUGACGGGGACCCGCACAAGCGGUGGAUGAUGUGGUUUAAUUCGAUGCAACGCGAAAAACCUUACCCACCUUUGACAUGGCAGGAAGUUUCCAGAGAUGGAUUCGUGCUCGAAAGAGAACCUGCACACAGGUGCUGCAUGGCUGUCGUCAGCUCGUGUCGUGAGAUGUUGGGUUAAGUCCCGCAACGAGCGCAACCCUUGCCAUUAGUUGCUACGAAAGGGCACUCUAAUGGGACUGCCGGUGACAAACCGGAGGAAGGUGGGGAUGACGUCAAGUCCUCAUGGCCCUUAUAGGUGGGGCUACACACGUCAUACAAUGGCCGGUACAAAGGGUCGCAAACCCGCGAGGGGGAGCCAAUCCAUCAAAGCCGGUCGUAGUCCGGAUCGCAGUCUGCAACUCGACUGCGUGAAGUCGGAAUCGCUAGUAAUCGUGGAUCAGCAUGUCACGGUGAAUACGUUCCCGGGUCUUGUACACACCGCCCGUCACACCAUGGGAGCGGGUCUCGCCAGAAGUAGUUAGCCUAACCGCAAGGAGGGCG